rnacentral:misc_RNA from 1 species
UCUCCAACAAACAUUGUCACCAUGCCAGCCCACCAUAGUGGCUCCAAUAAGUAAGUAUAACCCCCAACUCCAGCGCGAGUGCCAGCAGCACCAGCUCGCUUCAGCCCCUUCUUCUUCAAAAUGAAGCUCGCCCCAAUAAAAGCACUGGAUGCCACAGCCAGAAUUAGCCCUUUCGAAUUAUCUGAUACUCCCAUCGUUUCCCCUUCCCUAAAAGCUGCUUAUGUUAUGUACGUAGAAAUUCAAUAACAUCUCCUUUCGAUUCCAAACAAGUAAUUUCAAAAAAACUGAAAGCAACUGAGAUUUAGAUCGCAAAAGGAAUUGAAUUCCCGCCAAAUGAAAUUCCAAUUCCCUCCAAAAGAGCAAAGGGAAUGAAAAGAGAGAGAGGGAGAAGACGGUCCAACAAGAAUCGAAUAGAUGUUGCUACGUGAAACGCCACGUUUCGUUUCGACAAUAUUUUUUUCUUAAAAUCUUGGAGGGGAAAAA